rnacentral:rRNA from 1 species
AUGCACGCUGGCGGCGUGCCUAAUCCCUGCAAGUCGCGCGAACAGACGAGGAGCUUGCUCCUCUGACGUUAGCGGCGGACGGGUGAGUAACACGUGGAUAACCUACCUAUAAGACUGGGAUAACUUCGGGAAACCGGAGCUAAUACCGGAUAACAUGUUGAACCGCAUGGUUCAACAGUGAAAGACGGUCUUGCUGUCACUUAUAGAUGGAUCCGCGCCGCAUUAGCUAGUUGGUAAGGUAACGGCUUACCAAGGCAACGAUGCGUAGCCGACCUGAGAGGGUGAUCGGCCACACUGGAACUGAGACACGGUCCAGACUCCUACGGGAGGCAGCAGUAGGGAAUCUUCCGCAAUGGGCGAAAGCCUGACGGAGCAACGCCGCGUGAGUGAAGAAGGUCUUCGGAUCGUAAAACUCUGUUAUUAGGGAAGAACAAAUGUGUAAGUAACUAUGCACGUCUUGACGGUACCUAAUCAGAAAGCCACGGCUAACUACGUG